AGUGAACCCUCCCCCUAGCCUGUCACACCCGAAUGUGAGAUUUAGAGAACUGUAACGGAAUUGUGCUCAUUCGCGCAGCAAGCACAUAGAAAGUUGUCAUAAAAAUAGUGCUUACGUUAAGUAACGAAAUGUCUCAUACAGUUGUAACAACCACGACCACGACCACAACAACGUCGACUUCGGACGGACGGUUCCUAAACAUCGGUUACUUGCGUUCGUUUCCAGGAUUGCUGAAAUUCGGUCAAGUGAUAGCCCUCCUGAUUGCCUUCUUGUGCGUGCACUAUUCGUCAUGGACAGACUACUCUGCCUACCAAUACUUUGAGGUCGUCACACUAUGGUUUCUCAUCGUUUUCCUCAUCUUCCUCCUCAUGUAUGUGCUCAGGCUGCAGGCCAAGAUUCCUUGCAUUAACUGGACCCUGACGGAGUUCCUGCACUAUGCCAUCGGCACCAUCCUGGUCCUGAUUGCCUCCAUAGUAGCAGCCGUGAAGAGCUAUGGCAUCUCUGGACUCGUGGCUGGAUCGGUUUUUGGCUUUAUUGCAACGUUUCUUCUUGCAAUCAGCAUUUGGACAUCUUACAAGGUCACAUGUGGAUCGCAGCCAACUAGCGCGGCUGUGUGAUGCAACCCAACCUGCAUUCAUGAAAAUGUUAUGGUUGCACUUUUUAGCUGUUCAAGGUGUCUCAGAAAUAUGGUUGUGAGAGUGACGGGACAGAAGAGAGGAAGGCUGGCAGAAAUAAGGUGUGGCUAGAGCUGACCUUAAGUGGAAAAGUGGAAAAAAACCUCUCUUGUAACUAAUAUGGAAGCACGGCUCAUGUAUGAGUGAACCCCUCCCUGGGCCGUGUGUAUUUCGUUUACUGAGGUCUGUGCUGUGCGAUUACCCACAGAAAUGAUGGGCUGCAAGAUGGCCACCAAAUCAUCUGUGAUGAAACUUAGUUUCAUUAUCUCCUAUUAGAGUAAAAAACCUAAAAAAACAUUUAAUCUUGAUCAUCUCAGUUAUUAGGCUAUAUCCCUAUAAGCAUGUUUAUUUUUAUUACUGUGGAGUUUGAAGUAAACAGGAAAUGCAUGAAGUGGUCUGGUUGUAGUCUAAAAACAGAUAGAUCGUAUACUGGCACAGUUUCCUGAAGAUAAUCAUUACUUGUGAUAUUUCAUUGAUAACAUGAAAUUGGAAUCCUUUUGGUCUACUUACAAUGUACUGUACAGGUGAACGAUUUUUAAUGCUCUAGCUGUAGUAUUUAACAUAGUUAAAUACGUAUGAAUGUUAAAUAUUAUAGAAUAGCGUAGAAAUACAUAGACCAGUGAUAAAUACAUGCAGUGGAAAUCCUUUUUUUUAAAUCCUAGGCUCCAACUAUAUUUCAUGCGCCCUCUUGUGGCUGAAUUCCAAAUUGCACUUUUAAAUUUUUUUUUACAUUUUCAGCAUUUGGCAGACACUAAUCCAGAGCGAUUUCAAUGGAGUUUGUAUGGUCCCUGGGAAUCAAAUUCACGUUGCUAGCACCUUGCUCUAUCAGAUGAGCCACAGUUCACGUGGACUAAUUAAUAUUGAUAUAAUUUAUAUGCAUUAUGCACAUUCGCAUGUAUUCCUAGUCAAUUUCAUAGUGUUGGUAAUAGAAAAAGAUUAAAUACAGUAUUCUUUUUAGACGGACAAACAUCGAGACUGCACAACGUGUGGAAUAACUACUCGCCAAUAGAUGGCAGCAAAAUCUCAGUUCAAAAUGUCUAGUCCAAAAUGGCCUUGCACUCGAUGGCAUUGCACUUUUUCAGAUAGAGAGAUGCCGGAGAACUGAAGAAACGUUAUUCCAGUACUUCUGCUUAUUUAUAAGGUCUUAAAAUUUUGAUGACUAUGCGUCUUGAACUCUGUCAAUCACCCCAAGCUUGAUUUGCUCAAUGUUCUGCAAUGAAGGCACCCAUAGGAGCAGUCCCCAUGGAUGAAUGAGCUGAUCACUCGAACAACAGCCUCUUGUCAGUUCAUCCACAGGUGAGCAGUAUGUGCAGUAGUUACCCUCCUCACAGUAUGUACUGUACAUUCAGUAUAGCUCAUUAAUCACAUUUACUUAAGUGCCCCUUGAAGGGAGACGGGAGAGAUCAGGGUUCCAUGCUUAAGGAGAUAAAUACAUUUGCAUGUUUAACAAAAUCUCUAUCUUCAAAUUAAAAGAUGCUGGCACAAAUAUUUAAUCUCGCUUUUCUUGCUAAUCCCACUUAUCUGUUUUAUACAAUAUCCUGAGAGUCAUCGAUUUUGUGGGCAACAAUGGCUAGAUU